rnacentral:rRNA from 1 species
UACGUAGGGGGCAAGCGUUGUCCGGAAUCAUUGGGCGUAAAGAGCGUGUAGGCGGCUCGGUAAGUCCGCUCUGAAAGCCCGGGGCUCAACCCCGGGAGGCGGGCGGAUACUGUCGGGCUAGAGUCCGGAAGAGGCGAGUGGAAUUCCUGGUGUAGCGGUGAAAUGCGCAGAUAUCAGGAGGAACACCGGUGGCGAAGGCGGGUCUCUGGGCAGUAACUGACGCUGAGGAGCGAAAGCGUGGGGGAGCGAACAGG